rnacentral:lncRNA from 1 species
ACUCCUCCUCAUCUUCCAAUGUGCACUGGAGACUCAAACCACACCAUGACCCCGUUAGCAGCAUAGGGAGGUUCCAGAAUGGUCCUCUUCAGUGAUAACGAGGGAAUACAUCUGAGAUUGAAGACAAUCCUUGCUAGAGAAGUUGGGAAGAAAGAGUAAACUGAUCAUCAUAAAGUUCUGCUGUCUAGUUCUGCUGCCUUCAUCAACAUUAUGGCAUCUUUUCCAGAAUGCUAGCCUAUCCUUCACAUGUUCUUGCUCAGAACAUGGCUGGUAUCUCAUAGUGCCACAGUCAUCAUUCAUAAUUACAAAGAAAGGUUAAAUUUACCUUAGUGUCGCCAGAUGUUAUGCACAUUAUAUUUCCAAAUAUAAUUUUAAAAAAUUU